UACGGAGGGUGCGAGCGUUGUCCGGAAUCAUUGGGCGUAAAGCGCGCGUAGGCGGCCCGGUAAGUCCGCUGUGAAAGUCAAAGGCUCAACCUUUGAAUGUCAGCGGAUACUGCCGGGCUAGAGUCCGGAAGAGGAGAGUGGAAUUCCUGGUGUAGCGGUGAAAUGCGCAGAUAUCAGGAAGAACACCCGUGGCGAAGGCGGCUCUCUGGGACGGUACUGACGCUGAGACGCGAAAGCGUGGGGAGCGAACAGG
rnacentral:rRNA from 1 species